CGCGUCUGAUCAGCGCUGCAGGACCGCGCGUUGCGUUUCUUUGCGUUGCGUUGCUUUGCUCAUCAUGUUUCCGCGACUCCGGUUCUUUGUUUCUUAUCUGCUGUUUUUCUGCUGUUGGAGAUGCAGCGCUGGUGGAGUGACCCUCCAAACGAAUGAUGGAACGUAUGAGGUCACACGUCCCCAGUGGCUGCAGCUGCCCAGAGUUCAGAGGUCAGCUGGUGAGCAGCACCCUUCCAGAGUGGAGGUGGCGAUCAGGGCUGGAGGGGAGCAACUCGUUCUGGACCUCCACAAGAAUGUGUGAGUAGAAUCAUCUUCUCAUCUUUCUGACUGUCAGCAGAACAAAACUCUCUGAGAGGCGGAGUCUGUCGAGCUUUUCAGAGGCGGGGCA
rnacentral:lncRNA from 1 species